rnacentral:rRNA from 1 species
AUUGAACGCUGGCGGCAUGCUUUACACAUGCAAGUCGAACGGGGUGGGGGGCAACUCCCAUUCAGUGGCGAACGGGUGAGUAAUGCAUCGGAACGUAUCCCGUAGUGGGGGACAACGCCGCGAAAGCGGCGCUAAUACCGCAUAUGCUCUACGGAGGAAAGUGGGGGACCGCAAGGCCUCACGCUCUGGGAGCGGCCGACGUCCGAUUAGCUAGUUGGAGGGGUAAUGGCCCACCAAGGCGACGAUCGGUAGCUGGUCUGAGAGGAUGAUCAGCCACACUGGGACUGAGACACGGCCCAGACUCCUACGGGAGGCAGCAGUGGGGAAUUUUGGACAAUGGGGGCAACCCUGAUCCAGCCAUGCCGCGUGCGGGAAGAAGGCCUUCGGGUUGUAAACCGCUUUUAGCCGGGAAGAAAAGGCACGUCUUAAUACGGCGUGUUCUUGACGGUACCGGCGGAAUAAGCACCGGCUAACUACGUGCCAGCCGCCGCAGUAAGAC